UCAGCUUGGUUCUCUCCCCAGGGACAACUGGACAGGCCAUGAGGUCCCACCCUACCAACCUACAUUCUAUGAUGGCUGGCAGCCUCCAGAACCUUCCAACCAGGCACCCUCAGGAUACCAGGACUCCGCUUCCCUCCGGCCAGUGCAGCCAGCCCUGAGAAUGCAAGUCUUAUUCGAGUUUGAAGCUAGGAACCCAAAGGAGCUGACAGUGGCCCCGGGAGAGGUGGU